GAGGGAGUGCCACAUUUUCUUUCAUUUUCAUUUUCAUUUUCGGAUAGAGAGAGACAGAUAAAGAAAAGAAGAAAAAGGGAAAAGAGAAAUGGGAAGAACAAGGAAGAAGAGCUAGGGUUUGAAGGGGAAAUUAAAGAGGUUCUGGAGUUUAGUAGCUUGUGCGUGAUCUAGCCGGAGAUUCUUCCGUGUUUGUUGGAGAUUAGGUAGUGAGUCGAUGCUCUGGUCAUGUAACACUGGAUAGACUAGUCGUGUCAAACUCAUGUUUCUUUUUGGUUAUGUAUUAUGUUAUGACUUGAGAACCUGUUUAUUUGGCUACUUGUUGUUGAGAGGCUUUUAAGCUAAAUAUUCUGAUUAUGGUUUAUUUUAUGUUGAGAUGAUUAUUGAGAUAUAUGAUCAUGGUAUGGGACAUGAAUCAUUUUAUGAAA